CCUACGGGGAGCUGCAGUAGGGAAUUUUCGGCAAUGGCGGGAACCCUGACCGAGCAACGCCGCGUGAACGAAGAAGUUAUUCGUAAUGUAAAGUUCUUUUAACAGGGAAGAAAGAGAAAUUUGACGGUACCUGAAGAAUAAACUCCGGCUAACUACGUGCCAGCAGCCGCGGUAAUACGUAGGGAGCGAGCGUUAUCCGGAAUUAUUGGGCGAAAAGGGUGCGUAGAUGGCAUAGUAAGUCUUUGGUAAAAAUGCUGGGCUCAACCCAGUAGGGCAAAAGAUACUGCAAAUCUAGAGUAUGACAGAGGCAAGUGGAACUACAUGUGUAGCGGUAAAAUGCAUAAAUAUAUGGAAGAACACCAGUGGCGAAGGCGGCUUGCUGGGUCGAUACUGACAUUGAGGCACGAAAGCGUGGGGAGCAAACAGGAUUAGAUACCCCGGUAGUC
rnacentral:rRNA from 1 species